GUAGGUGGCAAGCGUUGUCCGGAAUUAUUGGGCGUAAAGCGCGCGCAGGCUGUUCUUUAAGUCUGAUGUGAAAGCCCACGGCUCAACCGUGGAGGGUCAUUGGAAACUGGAGAACUUGAGUACAGAAGAGGAAAGCGGAAUUCCACGUGUAGCGGUGAAAUGCGUAGAGAUGUGGAGGAACACCAGUGGCGAAGGCGGCUUUCUGGUCUGUAACUGACGCUGAGGCGCGAAAGCGUGGGGAGCAAACAGGGAUUAGAUACCCUGGUAGUCCACGCCGUAAACGAUGAGUGCUAAGUGUUAGGGGGGUUUCCGCCCCCUUAGUGCUGCAGCUAACGCAUUAAGCACUCCGCCUGGGGAGUACGGCCGCAAGGCUG
rnacentral:rRNA from 1 species